CCUACGGGUGGCAGCAGUGAGGAAUAUUGGUCAAUGGGCGGGAGCCUGAACCAGCCAAGCCGCGUGAGGGAAGAAGGUACAGCGUAUCGUAAACCUCUUUUGUCAGGGAGCAAAGGCGGGGACUAGUCCCCGGAUGAGGGUACCUGAAGAAAAAGCAUCGGCUAACUCCGGGCCAGCAGCCGCGGUAAUACGGAGGAUGCGGGCGUUAUCCGGAUUUAUUGGGUGUAAAGGGAGCGUAGACGGCUGGUCAAGUCUGAAGUGAAAGCCCGGGGCUUAACCCCGGAACGGCUUUUGAAACUGAGCAGCUAGAGUGCUGGAGAGGUAAGCGGAAUUCCUAGUGUAGCGGUGAAAUGCGUAGAUAUUAGGAGGAACACCAGUGGCGAAGGCGGCUUACUGGACAGUAACUGACGUUGAGGCUCGAAAGCGUGGGGAGCAAACAGGAUUAGAUACCCCAGUAGUC
rnacentral:rRNA from 1 species